rfam:Dictyostelium discoideum AX4 chromosome 3, whole genome shotgun sequence.
GCCUGGAUGGCUCAGUAGGCAGAGCGAGCGGCUGUUAACCGCUAGGUCCAUGGUUCGAUCCCAUGUCUAGGCG